AUUGAACGCUGGCGGCAUGCUUUACACAUGCAAGUCGAACGGUAACAGGCCGCAAGGUGCUGACGAGUGGCGAACGGGUGAGUAAUGCAUCGGAACGUGCCCAGUCGUGGGGGAUAACGCAGCGAAAGCUGCGCUAAUACCGCAUACGAUCUAUGGAUGAAAGCGGGGGACCGUAAGGCCUCGCGCGAUUGGAGCGGCCGAUGUCAGAUUAGGUAGUUGGUGGGGUAAAGGCGCACCAAGCCAACGAUCUGUAGCUGGUCUAAGAGGACGACCAGCCAGACUGGGACUGAGACACGGCCCAGACUCCGACGGGAGGCAGCAGUGGGGAAUUUUGGACAAUGGGCGCAAGCCUGAUCCAGCAAUGCCGCGUACAGGAAGAAGGCCUUCGGGUUGUAAACUGCUUUUGUACGGAACGAAACGGUCCUGUUUAAUACCUGGGGCUAAUGACGGUACCGUAAGAAUAAGCACCGGCUAACUACGUGCCAGCCGCCGCCGUAA
rnacentral:rRNA from 1 species